CGCCGGACGCGGGCGGGGAACCUUGAGCCUCGGGGCUUCCCGAGCGCCGGGCCCCGGGCUUCGCGCGCCUGGUGCGGCGG
rnacentral:tRNA from 1 species